rnacentral:piRNA from 1 species
UCCAAAAUUUUAAGAUUUUUA